rnacentral:misc_RNA from 1 species
AGUUCCGCCUGCAGUACCUCGGUCCGUUACAGAACUAUAUAUUCUAUUAUUUAACUCCACACAUAUAUCGUAGGCGACUGACUCAGUUUUCCCUGACCCCCUAGGCAAUUAUCCAAGGGAAGAAAAAUCGCCGGAUAUACACAGAAAGUUUCAAUGACUCGUGUGGUGGUUCAUGAAAAGGAAUAAUAGAGACGGACUGAAAAAGGUCGUAUUUCAUUCAAUUAUCCUAGUUACGAGUACAUUGUCAUCUUGUUUGCGACGAGUCUACCAUUAUGGCGGACGAUUGUGCACUUCGCAGACGACGACAUUCCGUUUGGAAAUGGUCGAUAUGUGUUGGAAUGACAGGAAUUAUACUGUUUAACGUUUUUACUGGAGUGACCAAUGCAGCCAAAGAAGACAUCCAGAAGCUCUCCAAUGGAGCGAGCUAUUUGAUGCAAUAUGGCUACAUGUCCUCCGACGACGAGCGAUCGGGGUCGCUUCGAUCCCCGGACUCCAUUAAACAGGCUGUCAGACAGUUCCAGAGAUUUGCCGGACUCCCUGCUACAGGAAUCCUGGACCCGGCGACCAUUGAGAUGAUGAACAAGCCUCGUUGUGGUGUCAAGGACAACGUUGGAAACGCAAAUAAAGCACGCAGGCGCCGCUAUGCGUUACACGGAAGUAAAUGGUCAGCGAAAGAUCUCACCUUUAGGAUUUCAAAAUACAGUGACCAGAUGCCAAAAGAGGAAGUAGAGAGAGAAAUCCAGCGAGCAUUCGACGAAUGGGGCAAGGUCACGCCCUUGACCUUUACCCAGGUAACGGGUAAACCGGACAUUGAUAUCCGAUUUGAGAAGAGGUGGCACGGAGACAACAACCCAUUUGAUGGCGAGGGAAAGACCCUUGCGCAUGCAUAUUUCCCGCGGUAUGGUGGUGACGCCCACUUUGAUGACGAUGAAAAGUGGACAAUCAACAUUGCCAAAGGGAUAAACUUCUUUCAAGUGGCCGUCCAUGAAAUCGGCCAUUCCCUCGGUCUGGCGCAUUCUGACGACUACAAAGCUUUGAUGGCUCCGUUCUACAAGGGGUAUUCCCGGGAUUUCCGUCUGGACACUGAUGACAUCGAGGCUAUUCAGACACUAUACGGAACACCUGCAUCAAGACGUAAACCUAAACCAAAGCCCACGAAACAAUCGCUUGUACCGAAGCCAACCAAAGCAUCUGUGGCCAGCAUUCCGGAAAUCUGCCAGGAUCCGACGAUCGAUGCUAUUACCCGAACCAAGGACGGAAGUACUUAUGCCUUCAAAGGAAAAUAUCACUACCGACUGAACAGCAAGGGUAUAGAUGAAGGCUACCCACGACUUAUAUCUUGGGACUGGAACGGGGUGGAAGGUCCUGUAGAUGCCGUGCUUACCUGGGAGAACGGAUAUACCUACAUCUUUAAGGCGGCGGAUCUACGGACCCAAUGACAUCAAGCAGGGAUUUCGCGGCGUUCCAGACAACGUGGAAGCAGCUAUGGUCUGGGGAGGCAACGGCAAAACCUACUUUUUCAAAGGGGGUCAGUACUGGAGGUAUUCAGGUCGCAGUGUGGAUUUCGGCUACCCCAGACCGACAACCCAUUGGCGGGGCAUCCCCAAGAGCGUCACGGCAGCCUUCAAAUGGACCAAUGGGAGGACCUACUUCUUCAGUGGAAAAAAAUAUUACCGAUUUAAUGACCAACUGUUUAUGACGGAUACAUCCUAUCCAAGAGAAGUGGCAACAUGGUGGCUUGGAUGCCCGGAUCAAGGAACCAACGCGGAUAUCAAAGACCCGUAUUUUAGACAAGAGACCAAUCGGCCGGACGAGCAGUGGAUCGUCAUUGACGAUACCAAUGUCAGCCCGCCCCAGCCCCAGAGCAACCAGUCCUGUCGCCUGUCCAUUUCCUGGCUUCUCAUUAACGGCAUUUCGUUUUGUUAUUUCAUCUUCCAAGUGAGUCGCUGGCGAUUUCCUUGAUAACAGAUGCCCCAGUAUAAAAUAAAGUUCAACAGAUGGAGAGGUCCAGAGAACGCAGUCCUGUCGUGGGGCAAAACAAAUGAGGCAAUCAUGGAAGAGUCUCUAUUUGUCCCCACUUCACCAUAUGGUGAUUUGAAACGAGAAGUAUUGGUUGUGAACGUUCCAUUUGAAUUCAUCCUUAGAGAGGGUUCUUUUCUGGAAGUUGAUCUUAAUCCGUCCGUUUUGGCGCAAAAAACAAAGACUGUGAUAGCCACGUAAAAGUGCUGAGAGACUGGUGUUCAUUCCAGUGAUAAAAUACGCUGUCUUAAACUGUAUGCAUAUUUACAGACUUUCAUAAUGAACCAACUUACACAUUUGAGAAUUUGUUGAAAUGAACGCAGUGUAUACAGAGAGCGAUUGUAACCAAGUGUGUGCAAACAGGUGUGUGUGUGUGAGAGGUUUGUAUGAAUGUAGUGGAAUCUGAAAGUAGAACACGUGUUUUCUAGUCAUGCAGUGCAAAAUGAAAGGCAUUUCAAAGAGUAAUGCACUAUGUGCAGAGUUUAAGAGUGAAGGAUGAGAGCUGUUUAUAUUCAAUGUUUCUGUCCCGUCUUCAAUUUUCAUAAAAAUGAAGAUGUACAAUGAACUUGUGUUAUAUGGUGAUAUAAUUAUGUUACAUGUUUGCAACGAUUUGUGAUCUGAUGCUUUUCCUAAAAUGUUUUACGUUUCAUUAUUAUAAAAAAAAAAGACCCAUCUUG